UACGUAGGGUGCAAGCGUUAAUCGGAAUUACUGGGCGUAAAGCGUGCGCAGGCGGUUAUGUAAGACAGAUGUGAAAUCCCCGAGCUCAACUUGGGAACUGCAUUUGUGACUGCAUGACUAGAGUACGGUAGAGGGAGAUGGAAUUCCGCAUGUAGCAGUGAAAUGCGUAGAUAUCUGGAGGAACACCGGUGGCGAAGGCGGCAUCCUGGACCGAGACUGACACUGAGGAGCGAAAGCCAGGGGAGCAAACAGG
rnacentral:rRNA from 1 species